GGGGUUUAGCUCAGUGGUAGAGCACUUGCCUAGGAAGCACAAGGCCCUGGGUUCAGUCCCCAGCUCCG
rnacentral:tRNA from 1 species